ensembl:lncRNA
UAUAGCUAUCUCUAGUCCUUCUCCUCACAAUUCUAACUGGACUAAAUUCCUUGAGGUCAGGAAUUAUGUCUCUGACUUAUUUGAGCACCUAGCAGAGAACUCACUACACACAAGAUACUUAAUAGAUUUGUGGUUUUGGUCUAUUUAUCAGCCAGCUUCUUAUCUUUUGCCAGAUGCCCUCAAAGAGGUAAAAAGAUGCAAAAUAAGACUGGCUGGCCAUGCUGCAGGCUGUUCGACCUCACAUGAAGAAAAAAAUGGCGGAGCACUAGAGCUUUGGUUCCUGCCCACGCCCUCAGGGAUUGGGCCAGUCCAGGUGGGAAAAACUAUAAGAUGGACUCUACUUAUAUUUUGAAGAACCAACACAAGAUGCUUGACCAUCUCUCAUGGCCUAUCUCAACAGACUCCAGGAUAAGAAACUUGCUACCUCCCCAAAUCAAGAAAGUGAACUGUUUGGAGAAGGUGCCAUAAAGAAGCCUGCAGAAACCACACACUGCAUCAAAAGAUCCAGAAUGAAAUUUGGGAUGUAGUGAAUUGAACCAUGGGGGGUUGAACACAUUUAUUUUGAAUGUAAACUCUUAUACCAAAGGGGACUGCCCCCUAAUUGGCUUUGUGUCAAUGCACCUAGCAAUCAUUGGUUUUGUUCUCUUUCUCUUUUAUUUCCCUCUUAUCUCCAAAUUAUUGUAAUUUCUCCAUAGAAAUUACAAUAUUAUAUGUACCUCUAUCUAGUUAAAGAUCUUUAGAGAUAUAAGUUGGUCAUGUGUAUUGAUUCAUUGGGGAAACUAGGCAUGUAAAUCUGGGAGAUUUCUGCAUGUUCAUUUCCCAAUGGAAUCACAGGGGGGAUUGUGUAGUUGGAAUUUACUCCCCAGAACUCUCUUUCCCAGCUUCCCAAUUUUCUUCUCACAUUAUAUCCUAACAUAGGGAGGAUAUAUUUUGAGUGUAGCUCCUCCCUCUCUCUCUACUCUGGGGAAAUCGAUUGUAGAGGCUGGGUGAGAACCAGGCAGGUGAAUUUUACCCACAUGUUUUUACUUUUUUUUUUGCUUAGGUUUUUUUUUAAUUUUUGUUCUUUUAUUUCUUCUACUUCAAAUGAUUACUAAUAAAUAUUAUAAAAUAUAAUACUUG